UUGCCUGCCUAUACACGAGCUGCUAUAA
rnacentral:rRNA from 1 species